rnacentral:rRNA from 1 species
GAUGAACGCUAGCGGCAGGCUAAAUACAUGCAAGUCGAGGGGCAGCAUGAAUGUAGCAAUACAUUUGAUGGCGACCGGCAAACGGGUGCGGAACACGUACACAACCUUCCAACAAGUGGGGGAUAGCCCAGAGAAAUUUGGAUUAAUACCCCGUAACAUAGCGAUGUGGCAUCACAUUGCUAUUAUAGAUUUUUCGCUUGUUGAUGGGUGUGCGGCUGAUUAGAUAGUUGGCGGGGUAACGGCCCACCAAGUCUACGAUCAGUAGCUGAUGUGAGAGCAUGAUCAGCCACACGGGCACUGAGACACGGGCCCGACUCCUACGGGGGGCAGCAGUAAGGAAUAUUGGACAAUGGACGCAAGUCUGAUCCAGCCAUGCCGCGUGAAGGAUUAAGGUCCUCUGGAUUGCAAACUUCUUUUAUAAGGGACGAAAAAAGGCUUUUCUAAGUCGUCUGACGGUACCUUAUGAAUAAGCACCGGCUAACUCCGUGCCAGCAGCCGCCGUAAUAC